rnacentral:rRNA from 1 species
GAUGAACGCUGGCGGCGUGCCUAAUACAUGCAAGUCGAGCGAAUGGAUUAAGAGCUUGCUCUUAUGAAGUUAGCGGCGGACGGGUGAGUAACACGUGGGUAACCUGCCCAUAAGACUGGGAUAACUCCGGGAAACCGGGGCUAAUACCGGAUAACAUUUUGAACCGCAUGGUUCGAAAUUGAAAGGCGGCUUCGGCUGUCACUUAUGGAUGGACCCGCGUAGCAUUAGCUAGUUGGUGAGGUAACGGCUCACCAAGGCAACGAUGCGUAGCCGACCUGGGAAGGUGAUCGGCGACACUGGAACUAAGACACGGCCCAGACUCCUACGGGAGGCAGCAGUAGGGAAUCUUCCGCAAUGGAUGAAAGUCUGACGGAGCAACGCCGCGUGAGUGAUGAAGGCUUUCGGGUCGUAAAACUCUGUUGUUAGGGAAGAACAAGUGCUAGUUGAAUAAGCUGGCACCUUGACGGUACCUAACCAGAAAGCCACGGCUAACUACGUGCCAGCCGCCGCAGUAA